GCCCUAGUGCCGGUCCGGCCUACGGAAACGGGUCGUGACAAAGGGGGUAUCAGAGCAUAAGUUCAUAAGUCUAGAUGUAACUGCGGAGUAAUUCCUGUCAUGUCUUGACAUUGUCUUCCUUGCUUUCCCCUUCAGCGUUAUUCGCAGUUAGGUUAAAGUCAAGUUGUUUAGUAUAAUUAAAUUUGUAUCCUAGUCCUUUAGAGAUGUGAUUUGGUUACUAAUGCUAAGGGGA
rnacentral:lncRNA from 1 species